UACGUAGGGAGCAAGCGUUGUCCGGAAUCAUUGGGCGUAAAGCGCGCGUAGGUGGCUUUGUAAGUCCGCUGUGAAAGUCAAAGGCUCAACCUUUGAAAGCCGGUGGAUACUGUGGAGCUAGAGUCCGGAAGAGGCGAGUGGAAUUCCUGGUGUAGCGGUGGAAUGCGCAGAUAUCAGGAGGAACACCAAUAGCGAAGGCAGCUCGCUGGGACGGUACUGACACUGAGGCGCGAAAGCGUGGGGAGCGAACAGG
rnacentral:rRNA from 1 species